rnacentral:tRNA from 1 species
AGGGUUAUUUUGAUAGAAUAGAAUAUGCGUAUGCACGCUCUUACUA